rnacentral:rRNA from 1 species
UACGAAGGGGGCUAGCGUUGCUCGGAAUCACUGGGCGUAAAGGGCGCGUAGGCGGCGUUUUAAGUCGGGGGUGAAAGCCUGUGGCUCAACCACAGAAUGGCCUUCGAUACUGGGACGCUUGAGUAUGGCAGAGGUGUGUGGAACUCCGAGUGUAGAGGUGAAAUUCGUAGAUAUUCGGAAGAACACCAGUGGCGAAGGCGACACACUGGGCCAUUACUGACGCUGAGGCGCGAAAGCGUGGGGAGCAAACAGG